rnacentral:rRNA from 1 species
CUGGAUCUCCGUUCGGGAAACCGUAUUUGAGCCCACUGGGCCUGCCGUAUGCUGUGGCUUCGUUUUGAAUUGAAAUAACUUAGCGAACUGAAACAUCAUUACAGCUAAAGGAAAGGAAAUCAACCGAGACUCCGUUAGUAGCGGCGAGCGAACAUGGAUUAGGCAAAGAAAAGGGAAAAAACUGUUUUCUCGAACCGGACUUGCGGAAAAGGAAGCGUAAGCGCCUGCCUGCUAGGAUUUCGAAAGGAUUUGAAGAUCUAGCCAAAGAGGGUGAUAGCCCCGUAGAUUUCUAUUAGCAAGUCUAAUUACUAUUAUAAAACGCGGAUACUGUAUUGAAAUGACGAUUGCUUUAUACGCAAUAAAGGGGGACCACCCCCGUGGCCUAAGUAUUCCUCAAUGACCGAUAGCGUACUAUAAGUACCGUGAGGGAAAGGUGAAAAGACCCCGUCAUAUACCGGGAGUGCAAUAGAAAACUUAAAAUUCGAUGCAAACCAUCAGUCGAAGGAGCGAGGCUGAGNNNNNNNNNNNNNNNNNNNNNNNNNNNNNNNNNNNNNNNNNNNNNNNNNNNNNNNNNNNNNNNNNNNNNNNNNNNNNNNNNNNNNNNNNNNNNNNNNNNNUCUAUUGAAGUAGAGCGUAUAAUGUUUGUGGUUUGGGAUAGAGCACUCAAUGGGCUAGGGUGGCCUUAAGCCUGACCAACCUCAAGGAAACUCCGAAUACAGGCCAUAGGUUUGUAUAGACAGACUUUGGGUGCUAAGAUCCGAAGUCGAGAGGGAAACAGCCCGGAUCGUAUGCUAAGGUCCUUAAGCAAUCACUUAGUGGAAAAGGAGGUAAUCGAGCGUUGACAAUCAGGGAGUGGGCUCGGAAGCAGCCAUCUUUUAAAGAAAGCGUAAUAGCUUACUGAUCUAGCUUCAUAGCACCAAAGAUGUAUCGGGGCUCAAGUGAUUCACCGAAGCAACGAGACCUUAAAAUAAGCAAUGGCUUCUCUAAGAGUCAGUAGCGGAACGUUUUGUUGAUCUGAGAAGGUAGUUGGUGACAAUAACUGGAGAUAUCAAAAGUGAGAAUGCUGGCAUGAGUAACGAAAAAUCAUGUAAAAAACAGGAUCGCCUGCCAGUUUCAGGGUUUCUGCGUUCAGUCGAUCUGCGCAGAGUGAAUCGGUCCCUAAGGAACCCCGAAAGGGCAACACCUGAUGGGUACACGAAAGUGACGAAGUUACUUAGACUACUAAGCCAUGCGUGUCGGUUAGACCCGUAAAUCGGAUAAUUGGUCAGGGGGCUACAUGUAAAAUGGCCUCGUCUCUAGUCAGGGUCUUAACUCCCGGGAAAAAACUUCGUGGAAUUGGGAAAGCGAUUCGAAAUCUAAGAUAUAAAAUUAACCGUACCCUAAACCAACACAGGUAAAUAAAUAGAGUAUAUUAAGGCGUUUGAGAAAACCAUGUCGAAGGAACUCGGCAAAAUGGCCUCGUAACUUCGGGAUAAGGGGUGCUCUUUUAUUUUCUUUAAAAACUAGAAGAGCGGCACAUAAUCGAGGGUAGCGACUGUUUAUUAAAAACACAGGACUUUGCCAAGUGGUAACACGAUGUAUAGAGUCUGACACCUGCCCGGUGCUGGAAGGUAAAAAAGAUAAGUGUGACAAGCUUUGACUGAAAGCCCCGGUAAACGGCGGCAGUAACUCUAACUGUCCUAAGGUAGCGAAAUUCCUUGUCGCAUAAGUAGCGACCUGCAUGAAUGGUGUAACGACUGCCCUGCUGUCUCCGACAUGGACUCAGUGAAAUUGAAUUCUCCGUGAAGAUGCGGAGUACCAACGGCUAGACGGUAAGACCCCGUGCACCUUUACUAUACUCUUACAGUGGCAUCCCCGAUUGAAUGUGUAGGAUAGAUGGGAGGUAAUAGCAUAUAAUGUUGUUACCGAUGUUGAAAUACCAUUCUUUCAUCGUUGGAUGCCUAACCGCUGUUGCUAAAGGUGAAACACUGUAAGACAGGUAGUUUAUCUGGGGCGGAUGCCUCCUAAAAAGUAACGGAGGUGUGCGAAGGUAAGCUCAAGCCAUUGUUUGGAUGGCUUGUGAACGUAAUGGCAUAAGUUUGCCUGACUGUAAGACUUACCCGUCGAACAGAGACGAAAGUCGGCCAUAGUGAUCCGGGAGUCCCGUGUGGAAGGGCUCUCGCUUAACGGAUCAAAGGUACGCCGGGGAUAACAGGCUGAUGACCCCCAAGAGCUCUUAUCGACGGGGUCGUUUGGCACCUCGAUGUCGACUCAUCACAUCCUGGGGUUGAAUAAGGUCCCAAGGGUUCGGUUGUU